rfam:Oryza meridionalis cultivar OR44 (W2112) chromosome 4, whole genome shotgun sequence.
AUCCCGUGGUGAGGAUAGGCGGCCACAUAUUCCUGAAGUCAUUCCCAUGCCUCAGGAAUAGAAUCAUCUCUCGUCUGCUGGAAACUCAAAAUUCUUCCACGAAGGGC